rnacentral:lncRNA from 1 species
CUCCUAAGAGGCUGAGAUGCCGUCAGCACCAACCAGGGUAGGGUUUACUCUGCAAACGCUCCACAAAGACUUUUCCUAAAGUAAGCUCUCUGAUUUUCAGACUUACCAGAGAACUGCUACUCACUCCAAGGAUGAUAAACGCAUGUCACUCGUUCCGUGAUACACUCCAACCUGCAGCAAAUAGUACGAAGGGAACCAGCUGCAAAGCUAAGGAUCAACUGAAACGCAGUCUGCUGCGCGAUCACGGUCAGGGUCCGCCUCCUCCUCCAUUCAUGACUGGGACCUGGGGACGGGAGUCAAUGAAAAGAAGGCGAAGAAAAGAAGGACGCGGGGAC